GUCCACGCCGUAAACGAUGUCUACUAGCCGUUGGGGUCCUUGAGACUUUAGUGGCGCAGUUAACGCGAUAAGUAGACCGCCUGGGGAGUACGGCCGCAAGGUUAAAACUCAAAUGAAUUGACGGGGGCCCGCACAAGCGGUGGAGCAUGUGGUUUAAUUCGAUGCAACGCGAAGAACCUUACCUGGUCUUGACAUAGUGAGAAUCCUGCAGAGAUGCGGGAGUGCCUUCGGGAAUUCACAUACAGGUGCUGCAUGGCU
rnacentral:rRNA from 1 species